rnacentral:rRNA from 1 species
UGCCCUAGUAACGGCGAGUGAAGCGGCAACAGCUCAAAUUUGAAAGCUGGCCUUCGGGUCCGCAUUGUAAUUUGUAGAGGAUGCUUUGGGUGAAACGCCAGUCUAAGUUCCUUGGAACAGGACGUCAUAGAGGGUGAGAAUCCCGUAUGUGACUGGAAAUGUUAACCUAUGUAAAGCUCCUUCGACGAGUCGAGUUGUUUGGGAAUGCAGCUCUAAAUGGGAGGUAAAUUUCUUCUAAAGCUAAAUAUUGGCGAGAGACCGAUAGCGCACAAGUAGAGUGAUCGAAAGAUGAAAAGCACUUUGGAAAGAGAGUUAAAAAGCACGUGAAAUUGUUGAAAGGGAAGCGCUUGCAAUCAGACUUGUUUAAACUGUUCGGCCGGUCUUCUGACCGGUUUACUCAGUUUGGACAGGCCAGCAUCAGUUUCGGCGGCCGGAUAAAGGCUCUGGGAAUGUGGCCUUCACUUCGGU